rnacentral:rRNA from 1 species
GGAGGGGUGCAAGCGUUGUUCGGAAUUACUGGGCGUAAAGCGCGUGUAGGGCGGCCUCUUAUGUCAGGGUGUGAAAGCCCUGGGCCCAACCCAGGAAGUGCGCCUGAAACUGAGAGGCUUGAGUACGAGAGAGGAGGACGGAAUUCCCAGUGUAGAGGUGAAAUUCGUAGAUAUUGGGAAGAACACCGGUGGCGAAAGCGGUUCUCUAGAUCGAUACUGACGCUAAGACGCGAAAGCGUGGGGAGCAAACAGGAUUAGAUACCCUGGUAGUCCACGCCGUAAACGAUGGAUACUAGUUGUUGCGAGCUUUUAAACUCGCAGUGACGACGCUAACGCAUUAAGUAUCCCGCCUGGGAAGUACGGCCGCAAGGUUA